rnacentral:rRNA from 1 species
GAAAAAAAAACCCACUCCCCGUCCACCACCUCCCCUGAUCCCCAACCUUCCCCCGAUCUCCCUCGUGCCAGGUGCCAGCGCCGUGCAUCUCUCCCCGCUCCUCGAUCUCCUAGCACCGCCGCUCCCCGCUUCCCCUGCCUCCCGGCGCUGCCGUGCCCACUUCCCCUGCCUCCUAGUGCCGCCGCUUCCCUCCACCCCGCUUCCUCUACCUCCAAGCGCCACUGCCCCAACCUCCGGCAUGCAACUAGGCUGCCUUCCGCCGCCUCCCCUUGCUCUGGCGUGCCUCCCAUCGCCAUGGCUCCGGCACGCCUCCCACCGCCGCACCCCCGGCCCCGGUGCGCUUCCCGCCAUCGCCUUCUCUCCAGCAGCCGCGGCCACCCGUGACCAGCGUCAGCACAACCAGCUACAAAUCCAGUGGGAUUCCCCCCCACUCCUGUCCAUAGUCGCGUGGCUCGCGGCAAAACAGGGCCGCCGAGGAGAACAUCUCCCGUCCGGCAAGGAGCAUCUCAAGGGCGUCCGACGAGGAGCAUCUCAGGGGCGAGGAACAUCUCCCACCUCCUCCCUAGUGCAGAGCUUUCAGUCCAGGCCCCCGCGGCAAAAAACGCAGUGUCCACUCCUAUGAAAAUGCUCCUCCAAUAUCUUCAGGCGGUGUGGGCAUCCGGUCAUAGAGAGAUGUGUGGAGCGCUGCAUUCCGCUUGUUGUUGACCUCGUGGCCGCAAACGCCGAGAUUAUUGUCGUGUGUGGACUGCAACGAUGACCGAAUCCGACCUUCACCAGCAUCAUCAUUCUUCCUUCUCCUGUUCACCAACGUGCACCACCCGUCAUGGGUUAAGACACUGCUCAGACACUUCGAGGUGCCAUCGAUGGAUGUCUUGUCAAAAAGAUUCGCUCUCUUCGGCUUUAUUGCUGGGUGGAGCAUCGCAACCUCUGCUGAGACUGGACCUACCUUCCAGCUUGCACUGGUACUCGUCUCAUGCAUAUACUUUCUCAACGACAAGAUGAAAGAACCUUGGCAGGGCGUCUGCUACAGGGCUUGGACUCUUUGCGAGUGGCUGGAUAGUAGGUUCGCUGGUAGUCCCAGUGAUCCCGACAUUUAUUUUGCCGCGUACUUGGUGUCUGGAGCUCCUUACUUCGCUAGUCGCUUAUGUAUUUUUAUUCCUGGGUUGCAUCCACUUGUGACGUUCCACCCGCUAAUGUCAAAGACAAACAAUUUUGUACAGGAGAUGUUAAUGUAAACAUUGAUACGAGUAAUUGAUAGCCUAGGUUGGUGUUUUUUCAGUAAAAGAUAUGGGCUUGACUACUGAGAAAACAUUUUAGUUUCCAGCCUCGUCUUCAUGAAACAGUUUAGUUAGUCCACAAGGAUCAGACUAAAUUUUUUCCUUGUGAGGUUUCUGAAUGAACAUGUUUCACUAAAUAAAAUAGAAGAGUAAUUAUGAUUAUUUGUUCGAGACUGCAACCAAGCUAACUAGCUGCCCUUGUUUUUCAGCAUGGAUAGAUUGUUUCAAGAGGAAUUUACUGCACUUUUAUUAUGAUUCAGAUUUCAGAAGUAAGCUAAAACAAUUUGGUUUGCAGCAGGUUCAGGCAAGUCUUUUGUGUUUGUUUCAAGGUCCAGAAGUAAGGAAGUACUAGCUAGUUUAAUGUAGUAGUUUUUCAGGGCUCAGAUUUUGACGCCUCUAAUGAUUUUUUUGUCUACUGCACACAGUUGAAUCUCCAAGUUAUAAGAUUCUGUCAGUGUUGAAGAUCAAGAUUACUUUCAAACUGCAACCAUCAUCUACUAUUUGGUUGUCCUUUCCAUUGCCCCUUGAGUAGCAUCGUCUGUUGUUUCUUUCGCCAGCAGAGCACCACUCUCUCAUGAUGAAGUUUCCUAAUUGAGUCUCAAACUGCAGCAACCUAAUCUGGACUUGUUUUAGGAAUGACCGAUUAAUCGGUCCAAAUUCUAACUGUUGAUUAUCCACUGGGCGCCUUCACGGCGUGCUUCAGACUCCAAUCCAUCCUUGUUGUCCUUAGAGAGGAACACGUACAGGUCGUGGGUCGCUAGCAGGAGAUAAGAAUUAUAUGCAACAGGUCACUUAGCUUCCUUUGCUUUGUGGGCAAAAGGUUAUCAAAGUUCUCGCAAUUUUUUUGGGUAAAAAGUAAUAGAAAUUCAUGGAAGAUUGAUUUGUGUAUGCUUGUGAGUCUGAAACCUUUUUUAGUUGAUGUCAGCCAAAAAAAUGUGGAUAUGUUGUGCGUGUGUGUGUAGUACACCGAAUUGAAAAAUACUAUUUUCUGUCAUGUAGAUCAAAGAAAGAACAUAGAAAAUUUUAAAAUGUGGAUACACACAUUUUCUAUGUAUGAGCAAAAAACAAAGAAAAAUGCAUAAUUUCUCCUUCUUUAUUUUCCUCUUUGUGAUUGUGUGUUCUCC